rnacentral:tRNA from 1 species
GAGCCCGUAGCUCAGCCCGGUUUAGAGCGCUGGUCUUAUAAGCCAGUGGUCCAGGGUUCAAAUCCCUGCGGGCUCA